GGAGAUGACUGAAGGAGAGAUGUGAACUUUCACACUUGCAGCACAGGCCCUCCUGGGCCGGGCCGCCUCUUUCCGUUUGGGUACCGCUCCGGGGACUGCAUGCAGUGUCCGCUGACGAAUGCCUGCUUGGUGGGGGGAAUGGUCACGCCUUGUGCUGCAGUUGUUGGUGUCCAAAUGGCUGCAUCCGACCCGUCUUGAAACACGGACCAAGGAGUGCAACAUGCGUGCGAGUCUUGGGGUGGUAAACCCAUCGGCACAAUGAAGGUGAAGGCAGAUUUUGGUCUGCUCAGGCAGGAGCCUCCUCCCAGGGGGCGCACUGUCGACCGAUCCCAGGCUACGCUGUGGUGGGAUUUGAGUAAGAGCGUGCCUGUUGCGACCCGAAAGAUGGUGAACUAUGCCUGAAUAGGGUGAAGCCAGAGGAAACUCUGGUGGAAGCUCGUAGCGAUUCUGACGUGCAAAUCGAUCGUCAAAUUUGGGUAUAGGGGCGAAAGA
rnacentral:rRNA from 1 species